rnacentral:rRNA from 1 species
UACGUAGGGGGCUAGCGUUGUCCGGAAUCAUUGGGCGUAAAGCGCGUGUAGGCGGUCCGGUAAGUCCGCUGUGAAAGUCGAGGGCUCAACCCUCGAAUGCCGGUGGAUACUGUCGGGCUUGAGUACGGGAGAGGCGAGUGGAAUUCCUGGUGUAGCGGUGAAAUGCGCAGAUAUCAGGAGGAACACCAAUUGCGAAGGCAGCUCGCUGGGACGUUACUGACGCUGAGACGCGAAAGCGUGGGGAGCAAACAGG